AUUGCUGAUGAGUUUCAAAUAGGACGAAACACACGUCCUCAAU
rnacentral:hammerhead_ribozyme from 1 species